UAAAACCACUCUGGAGAGUCUCCGAUUGGAGCGCCGAAGGUGUAACACAAGAAAGAAUUCUUGUCUAUCUCUCAGGCAAAAGGACAGGGCAUAAAUA
rfam:Clostridiales bacterium CHKCI001 isolate CHKC1 genome assembly, contig: {contig28}